rnacentral:piRNA from 1 species
AACAAAAGCAAUAGCUAAAGCAUUACC